rnacentral:rRNA from 1 species
CCCAACGAAAUACGGGAUAACACCUAGGAAACAGAUGCUAAUACCGGAUAACAACAGAUGAUGCCUAUCAACUGUUUAAAAGAUGGUUCUGCUAUCACUCUUGGAUGGACCUGCGGUGCAUUAGCUAGUUGGUAGGGUAACGGCCUACCAAGGCGAUGAUGCAUAGCCGAGUUGAGAGACUGAUCGGCCACAUUGGGACUGAGACACGGCCCAAACUCCUACGGGAGGCAGCAGCC